AUUGAACGCUGGCGGCAUGCCUUACACAUGCAAGUCGAACGGUAACAGGUCUUCGGAUGCUGACGAGUGGCGAACGGGUGAGUAAUACAUCGGAACGUGCCUAGUAGUGGGGGAUAACUACUCGAAAGAGUGGCUAAUACCGCAUGAGAUCUACGGAUGAAAGCAGGGGAUCGCAAGACCUUGUGCUACUAGAGCGGCCGAUGGCAGAUUAGGUGGUUGGUGGGAUAAAAGCUUACCAAGCCGACGAUCUGUAGCUGGUCUGAGAGGACGAUCGGCCACACUGGUACUGAGAAACGGCCCAGACUCCUACGGGAGGCAGCAGUGGGGAAUUUUGGACAAUUGGCGCAAGCCUGAUACAGCAAUGCCGCGUGCAGGAUGAAGGCCUUCGGGUUGUAAACUGCUUUUGUACGGAGCGAAAAGCCCUGGGUUAAUACCCUGGGGUCAUGACGGUACCGUAAGAAUAAGCACCGGCUAACUACGUGCCAGCAGCCGCGGUAA
rnacentral:rRNA from 1 species